rnacentral:misc_RNA from 1 species
UCAAACUUGGUCAUUUAGAGGAAGUAAAAGUCGUAACAAGGUUUCCGUAGGUGAACCUGCGGAAGGAUCAUCAUAAAAAUAUUAUGAUUUUUUUAUACAAGUAGUAUGUAUGUAUAUUAUUAUAUAUACUACAUCAUAAUUGUAUAAAAAAUUAUCCAUCACAUACGCCCCAUAUAUUAAUCGUAGUUAUAAAUUAUAUGAUACAUAUUAUAAAAAUAUUUUACAACAACUUUUAACGAUGGAUCUCUUGGCUCUUGCAUCGAUGAAGAACGCAGC